rnacentral:rRNA from 1 species
CUACGUGCCAGCAGCCGCGGUAAUACGUAGGGCGCGAGCGUUGUCCGGAAUUAUUGGGCGUAAAGAGCUUGUAGGCGGUUUGUCGCGUCUGCUGUGAAAGGCCGGGGCUUAACCCCGUGUAUUGCAGUGGGUACGGGCAGACUAGAGUGCAGUAGGGGAGACUGGAAUUCCUGGUGUAGCGGUGGAAUGCGCAGAUAUCAGGAGGAACACCGAUGGCGAAGGCAGGUCUCUGGGCUGUAACUGACGCUGAGAAGCGAAAGCAUGGGGAGCGAACAGGAUUAGAUACCCUGGUAGUCCAUGCCGUAAACGUUGGGCACUAGGUGUGGGGGACAUUCCACGUUUUCCGCGCCGUAGCUAACGCAUUAAGUGCCCCGCCUGGGGAGUACGGCCGCAAGGCUAAAACUCAAAGAAAUUGGCGGGGGCCCGCACAAGCGGCGGAGCAUGCGGAUUAAUUCGAAGCAACGCGAAGAACCUUACCAGGUCUUGACAUCCCUCUGACCGCUCUAGAGAUAGAGCUUUC